GGAAGGGAUUGCACAUCCGGUGAUGGCCACGGUCUUCAAAACCGCUGGAGGGCGUUAGACGUCUUCGGUGGGUUCGACUCCCACUCUUUUCCGCCA
rnacentral:tRNA from 1 species